CCCAAAAUAUUUAGUUUCGUUGCACACCUCUUUAAACUAAAAAAAAUUACAUAUUCUUAUAGAUUAAAUGACGCUGAAUCCAAAUCUAAAAAGUUCUUGCGGGUUCACCCUGCAGUUUUUUUGUAAAUGGCGAUCAAAAUCUUAUAAUUUACCAGUUUCGCAAUAGCAUUUUUACUGUAUGCCAUACCUGAAGAUGCGAACUCUCGGAACCAGUCGCUCACGCGCCAUAGUGAAAUUAUACAGGAUAGGUCACUUCCGCCUACUUUUAAGGUAUGUGAAUUCAGAUUUGAUGUAAACAAUGAGCGACACGAUUUUCAAGGUUCAUAUUAUUGCG